rnacentral:rRNA from 1 species
AGCAGCCGCGGUAAUUCCAGCUCCAAUAGCGUAUAUUAAAGUUGUUGCAGUUAAAAGCUCGUAGUUGAAUUUCGGGAUUAAUUUACUGGUCGUGCUAUUGUACGUACUGGUUUUUAUUGAUUCCUCCCUUCUGACGAACUAUGAUGUCAUUAAUUUGGUGUCAUAGGGAAUCAGGACUGUUACUUUGAAAAAUUAGAGUGUUUAAAGCAGGCUCACGCUUGAAUACAUUAGCAUGGAAUAACGGAAUAGGACGUUUGAUUCUAUUUUGUUGGUUUUCUAGGAUCGACGUAAUGAUUAAUAGGGAUAGUUGGGGGCAUUAGUAUUCAAUUGUCAGAGGUGAAAUUCUUGGAUUUAUUGAAUGACUAACUACUGCGAAAGCAUUUGCCAAGGAUGUUUUCAUUAAUCAAGAACGAAGUUAGGGGAUCGAAGACGAUCAGAUACCGUCGUAGUCUUAACCAUAAAACUAUGCCGACUA